UGCUUCAUACCAAGUAAUAAGUUGGAUCUCAUGCCAGCCUUGUCCAAGGGUCUUCCGUAACCCUUCCAAGAUGGAUUAAAAAAUCGAGAGCUUCCCUUGGCUGCUUCUGAGCCAGAGGACUGCUGAGCGGGAUUGCGGAAGAAGGUGAGAUUCUACCCAGGGUGACUGUCUGUCCUCCAAUCCAUUAUUCUCAGACUCUGCUGACCUCAGAUCUCGAGUCAUCCUUGCCACUUUUACUAAUAAAUACUAACAAAAACAAGCAGACCCUGUGCAUGUUUCCAGGCACCGGGUGACCCAGCCUGUCCCCUGUUCCACUUAUUCAAUGCUGCUCAGAAACCGCACUGGAUUUGCUGCAGAGGGCCUCGGCUAUGAUGCAGAGAAUAUGGUCUUAUUUCCUUACAUGAUUAAUGCCAAGGCAUGGC
rnacentral:lncRNA from 10 species